UCCUUGUUAUCAUCAAUAUAAAUUUGUUUUAUUUUUACUCUAAAGUAUUUAUAAGAUAAAGACUAUAUAAAUAUCAAUUUAUGUUUUACAUUCUUCGAUAUCAAAUUUAGUCCUCACAGAUGACGCUCGGUUGUUGAUUGCUGAUCUGCUGAUUUAUCGAUCACCUUUGAAGGUUGGACAAACGAUAAUGCUCCCGGUACACAGGAUUUUGCGAUACAAUCUUCCUUUUUCGCAGGGUCCUGCAGAUUCGUACACAUAGAACACAUCACGUUUGUCAAUACACUAAUGAUAACCCUUGAUUUGUCAUCGGGUAAUCCUUUAACGAGUUUGA
rnacentral:lncRNA from 1 species